AAAUUGGUUGCUUAAAAUGCAGUCGAACGAUGAUAGCCCUUCGGGGUGGAUUAGUGGGGAACGGGUGAGUAACACGUGGGCAAUCUGCCCUUCACUCUGGGACAAGCCCUGGAAACGGGGUCUAAUACCGGAUAACACUCCUGCACGCAUGGGUGGGGGUUGAAAGCUCCGGCGGUGAAGGAUGAGCCCGCGGCCUAUCAGCUUGUUGGUGAGGUAGAAGCUCACCAAGGCGACGACGGGUAGCCGGCCUGAGAGGGCGACCGGCCACACUGGGACUGAGACACGGCCCAGACUCCUACGGGAGGCAGCAGUGGGGAAUAUUGCACAAUGGGCGAAAGCCUGAUGCAGCGACGCCGCGUGAGGGAUGACGGCCUUCGGGUUGUAAACCUCUUUCAGCAGGGAAGAAGCGAAAGUGACGGUACCUGCAGAAGAAGCGCCGGCUAACUACGUGCCAGCAGCCGCGGUAAUACGUAGGGCGCAAGCGUUGUCCGGAAUUAUUGGGCGUAAAGAGCUCGUAGGCGGUCUGUCACGUCGGAUGUGAAAGCCCGGGGCUUAACCCCGGGUCUGCAUUCGAUACGGGCAGACUAGAGUGUGGUAGGGGAGAUCGGAAUUCCUGGUGUAGCGGUGAAAUGCGCAGAUAUCAGGAGGAACACCGGUGGCGAAGGCGGAUCUCUGGGCCAUUACUGACGCUGAGGAGCGAAAGCGUGGGGAGCGAACAGGAUUAGAUACCCUGGUAGUCCACGCCGUAAACGGUGGGAACUAGGUGUUGGCGACAUUCCACGUCGUCGGUGCCGCAGCUAACGCAUUAAGUUCCCCGCCUGGGAGUACGGCCGCAGGCUAAAACUCAAGGAAUUGACGGGGGCCGCACAAGCAGCGGAGCAUGUGGCUAUUCGACACACGCGAAUAUCUUACAAGGCUGACAUCGCCGGCAAGCAUCAGAGAUGGAGCCCCCUUGGGUCGGUGACCGGUGUGCAUGGCUGUCGU
rnacentral:rRNA from 1 species